rnacentral:ribozyme from 1 species
GAAAAAUUAAAUUACAUAUCUAAAUUAUGCGUUUCUUUCUUUCUUUUUUUUUGUUUUUUAAUCUGGCGGUUGCUUUUUUU